AGAUUGAACGCUGGCGGCAUGCCUAACACAUGCAAGUCGAACGGGAGUAGCAAUACUCUAGUGGCGGACGGGUGAGGAAUACGUAGGAAUUUGCCCUUAAGUGGGGGAUAACCCGGGGAACCCGGAUUAAUACCGCAUGGCCUCGAAAGAGCAAAGUGGGGGAUCGCAAGACCUCACGCUUUUGGAGAAGCCUACGUCGGAUUAGCUAGUUGGUGAGGUAAUGGCUCACCAAGGCGACGAUCCGUAACUGGUCUGAGAGGAUGAUCAGUCACACCGGAACUGAGACACGGUCCGGACUCCUACGGGAGGCAGCAGUGGGGAAUAGUUGGACAAGUGGGCGCAAGCCUGAUCCAGCAAUGCCGCGUGUGUGAAGAAGGCCGUUGGUUAGUAAAGGCUACGUUUAAGGUUAGGGUAAAGAAAAAACGUCGACUACUAACACAGUAGAGUACGUAGACGGUACCGAC
rnacentral:rRNA from 1 species